GACGAACGCUGGCGGCGUGCCUAAUACAUGCAAGUUGAGCGCUGAAGGUUGGUACUUGUACCAACUGGAUGAGCAGCGAACGGGUGAGUAACGCGUGGGGAAUCUGCCUUUGAGCGGGGGACAACAUUUGGAAACGAAUGCUAAUACCGCAUAAAAACUUUAAACACAAGUUUUAAGUUUGAAAGAUGCAAUUGCAUCACUCAAAGAUGAUCCCGCGUUGUAUUAGCUAGUUGGUGAGGUAAAGGCUCACCAAGGCGAUGAUACAUAGCCGACCUGAGAGGGUGAUCGGCCGCAUUGGGACUGAGACACGGCCCAAACUCCUACGGGAGGCAGCAGUAGGGAAUCUUCGGCAAUGGACGAAAGUCUGACCGAGCAACGCCGCGUGAGUGAAGAAGGUUUUCGGAUCGUAAAACUCGGUUGGUAGAGAAGAACGUUGGUGAGAGUGGAAAGCUCAUCAAGUGACGGUAACUACCCAGAAAGGGACGGCUAACUACGUG
rnacentral:rRNA from 1 species